rnacentral:rRNA from 1 species
UGGGGAAUAUUGGACAAUGGGCGCAAGCCUGAUCCAGCCAUGCCGCGUGAGUGAUGAAGGCCCUAGGGUUGUAAAGCUCUUUCACCGGUGAAGAUAAUGACGGUAACCGGAGAAGAAGCCCCGGCUAACUUCGUGCCAGCAGCCGCGGUAAUACGAAGGGGGCUAGCGUUGUUCGGAUUUACUGGGCGUAAAGCGCACGUAGGCGGACUAUUAAGUCAGGGGUGAAAUCCCGGGGCUCAACCCCGGAACUGCCUUUGAUACUGGUAGUCUUGAGUUCGAGAGAGGUGGGUGGAAUUCCGAGUGUAGAGGUGAAAUUCGUAGAUAUUCGGAGGAACACCAGUGGCGAAGGCGGCUCACUGGCUCGAUACUGACGCUGAGGUGCGAAAGCGGGGGGAGCAAACAGG